GACGUAGGGCGCGAGCGUUGUCCGGAUUUAUUGGGCGUAAAGAGCGUGUAGGCGGCCCGGUAAGUCCGCUGUGAAAGUCGGGGGCUCAACCCUCGAAUGCCGGUGGAUACUGUCGGGCUAGAGUGCGGAAGAGGCGAGUGGAAUUCCUGGUGUAGCGGUGAAAUGCGCAGAUAUCAGGAGGAACACCGAUUGCGAAGGCAGCUCGCUGGGACGUAACUGACGCUGAGACGCGAAAGCGUGGGGAGCAAACAGG
rnacentral:rRNA from 1 species